rnacentral:rRNA from 1 species
CCAGCUCCAAUAGCGUAUACUAAAGUUGUUGCAGUUAAAAAGCUCGUAGUUGGAUUUCUGGUGUCGGCUCCUCGUCCUUCUCGCAAGAGUCGCGUACUGGGUCCUCGGCGCCAUCCUCGGGAAGACCGCGUCUUGCAUUCAUUUGCCGGGCGCGCGUAUCUCCCGUCUUUUACUGUGAGCAAACUAGAGUGUUCAAAGCAGGCUUACGCCGUUGAAUACAUUAGCAUGGAAUAAUAAGAUAUGACCUUGGUCAAUUUUGUUGGUUUAUACUCCAAGGUAAUGAUUAAUAGGGACAGUUGGGGGUAUUCGUAUUCAAUUGUCAGAGGUGAAAUUCUUGGAUUUAUGGAAGACGAACUACUGCGAAAGCAUUUACCAAGGAUGUUUUCA